UUGUUUCCACCCUAGCUAACAACCAAAGCGCUUAAGCCGGUUACAUUCUCAAAUUUUGAAUUCCAUCUUCUGCCGAUCUCUUCGUUCUCUCUCUCUCUCUAACAAAUUGAUAGGUGAUUUGUAAAUCGAUAACUUGUUUUGAUUAGUGCUGUCGCCGAUUAAAAUGGUUAAAGUGGGCGUCUUCUUGUUUGCCGUUGGUGGUUCACGGUGGUUUUGGCAAAGCUCCGGCGGUGGUUUAUAAAAGUGGUGGUCACCGGAAUUUAACCUUCCGCAGAUGCCUCCCAUUUUUUAUUAUCAUUGGACCUUCUGUUUCAAGACUAUUACAGAGAAUUUGAAAAGAUUAGUGAUUUUUAAGGAGGUUGAAGGCAUGUUGUACCCUAGCUAGAGAUAAAAAAAAAGGGUAGUUGCACGGUACCCUGACCGCGGGUUCACCACCCGACAAGGAUCCCUGGCGGCAAAUACCCAUAGCCAUCAAAGAGGG
rnacentral:lncRNA from 1 species